AUUGAACGCUGGCGGCAGGCCUAACACAUGCAAGUCGAGCGGAUGAAGGGAGCUUGCUCCUGGAUUCAGCGGCGGACGGGUGAGUAAUGCCUAGGAAUCUGCCUGGUAGUGGGGGAUAACGUCCGGAAACGGGCGCUAAUACCGCAUACGUCCUGAGGGAGAAAGUGGGGGAUCUUCGGACCUCACGCUAUCAGAUGAGCCUAGGUCGGAUUAGCUAGUUGGUGGGGUAAAGGCCUACCAAGGCGACGAUCCGUAACUGGUCUGAGAGGAUGAUCAGUCACACUGGAAGUGAGACACGGUCCAGACUCCUACGGGAGGCAGCAGUGGGGAAUAUUGGACAAUGGGCGAAAGCCUGAUCCAGCCAUGCCGCGUGUAUGAAGAAGGUCUUCGGAUUGUAAAGCACUUUAAGUUGGGAGGAAGGGCAGUAAGUUAAUACCUUGCUGUUUUGACGUUACCAACAGAAUAAGCACCGGCUAACUUCGUG
rnacentral:rRNA from 1 species